AUUGAACGCUAGCGGGAUGCCUUACACAUGCAAGUCGAACGGCUUGCCGAACGGGGGAGGGAUAUAACGGAACGGGCCCAGUAGCGAGGGAUGACUAUGCCAAAGGGUAACUAAUACUGCAUACUUUAGGAGCGGGCGAUACCGGAGUAGCUAGUUGGUGGGGUAACGGCUCACCAAGGCGACGAUCCGUAGCUGGUUUGAGAGGACGACCAGCCACACUGGGACUGAGACACGGCCCAGACUCCUACGGGAGGCAGCAGUGGGGAAUUUUGGACAAUGGGCGAAACCCUGAUCCAGCCAUCCCGCGUGUGCGAUGAAGGCCUUCGGGUUGUAAAGCACUUUUGGCAGGAAGGCGGUACCUGCAGAAUAAGCACCGGCUAACUACGUGCCAGCCGCCGCGGUAAUUC
rnacentral:rRNA from 1 species